UGGUUGAUGAUGACGCGACCACUGCUCAAUCUGAGUUCUGGGAAUUAGGUGAUGGAUCGUGUUCUAAGAACGCACUGAGUCUG